rnacentral:tRNA from 1 species
GAAGGCAAAGUCAUCGGUAAGGAAGUUCACGAGGGCGGUUUUGAAAACCGUUUGGGUUCACGCCCACGGGGGUUCGAAUCCCUCUGCCUCCGCCA